rnacentral:lncRNA from 10 species
CAAAUAUAAAGUAUGUAUCACAUCUAAGCCUCUUUGCAAUUCUGUAUAAAAAUACUUUUUUAAUUAAAAUGCGGAGAGAUGGUAUACAAAGCAGACUGAUCACAUUUGUUUUUCUCUACUCCAUUCCAGAACCUCCUUCUAUAACAGCAAAACUAUAUAAUGUAUACAAUUUUACGCCUUUAUACAAAGUCAAGAGAACAGGGUAAAAUCCUGCUUGCUGCACAUAACGGAAGAAAAGUUAAUACCAACGAAUCCCUCCUCCAACUACCACAAAGACAAGAAGGAUAUGCCAAUUCACCAUAAACUACAAUGAUGGUGGAGAAUAGGUAAUAUUCAUACACAAUUUAAGGAUUUUAAGAAACAAACGAAAGAGAUUUGUGGACGAAUACGGCAGACAGAUCAUAUGUGCUUAUUCUUUGCUCCACCCCAGCACCUCUUUCAAUACCAGUUAAAGGACAUAAGCCAUGUGAAGCGCUGGCUCCCUCUUUGCCUUCUGCCAUGAUUGCAAGUUUCCCGAAGCCUCCUCGGUAGCCAAGCAGAUGCCAGCAUCAUGCUUCCUGUACAUUCGGUGGAACUGUGAGCCAAUUAAAGCUCUUUUUUAAAUAAAUUAUCCAGUCUCAGGUAUUUAUGUAUAGCAAUGCAAGAACAAACUAAUAUGGAAAAUUGGUACUGAGGAGUGGGGCAUUAUUAUAAUGAUACCUGAAAAUGUGGAAGCAGCUUUGAAACUGGAUAAUGGGCAGGCAGAGGUUGGAACGGUUUGGAGGGCUCAGAAGAAGACAGGAAGUUGAGGAAAAGUUUAGAACUUCCAAAAGACUUGUUGAAUGGUUGUAACUAAAAUGUUGAUAGUGAUAUGGAGAGUGAAGUUGAGGCUGAGGAGGUCUCAGAUGGAAAUGAGGAACUUAUUGGGAACUGGAGUAAAGGUCACUUUUGCUAUGCUUUAGCAAAGAGUCUAGUUGCUGUCAGGCCUCUGAGCCCAAGCUAAGCCAUCAUAACCCCUGUGACCUGCACGUAUACAUCCAGAUGGCCUGAAACAACUGAAGAACCACAAAAGAAGUGAAACAGCCAGUUCCUGCCUUAACUGAUGACAUUCCACCAUUGUGAUUUGUUCCUGCCCCACCCUAACUGAUCAAUGGACCUUGUGACAUUCCUUCUCCUGGACAAUGAGUCUCAGGAGCUCCCCACCAAGCACCUUGUGACCCCCGCC